UAUGGCUCAGGAUUAACGCUGGCGGCGUGCCUAACACAUGCAAGUCGAACGGAAUAGUCUUCGGAUAUUUAGUGGCGAACGGGUGAGUAAUGUACAGGUAAUGUACCUUCGUACUGCGAAUAACAAGCUGAAAAGUUUGCUAAUACGGAAUAGUUUCCUUCGAGGGCAUCCUUAAAGGAAUAAAGAUUUAUCGUGCGGAGAUCAGCCUGUAUCCUAUUAGUUAGUUGGUGGGGUAAUGGCCUACCAAGACGACGAUGGGUAACUGGUCUGAGAGGAUGAGCAGUCACAUUGGAACUGAGAAACGGUCCAAACUCCUACGGGAGGCAGCAGUGAGGAAUUUUGCGCAAUGGGGGAAACCCUGACGCAAGCAACGCCGCGUGAGUGAUGACGGCCUUCGGGUUGUAAAGCUCUGUCGUGUGUGACGAGUAGGGACGGUAACACACAAGGAAGCCUCGGCUAACUACGUGCCAGCCGCAGC
rnacentral:rRNA from 1 species